CCUGAGCAUCAAACAUGUUCAUGUACUUGAUUCCGGUAUUGGAGUCGACACGUCCAGGGUUGGGCUGGAAGAGGCAAAAUGACAGCGUUUCAGGCCUCUGGUCACCCAGGUACGCAAAGAACGGGUCAAAUCCCAUGUUAAAUGGACCAGUAUAACUUGUAUAGCAAGAAACAAAUGCUUCUUCGAUUUUACUACAAUAAGAUUAUUUUAUUGCAAGUGGAAAAGUAAAUAAAGUUCUUUGCUACAAAAUCUAUUGCGAAUAUAUAUGUCAUAUAGUAUUUGGAUUCCCAACGUUCAGCUACCAACUUUCACAUGUUUUAUAAUCAUUAUAUAAUUACAAUAAAAAAUUGUAGAUCUCGGUGUAACAAUAAAUUAUAACAAAUGAACCUACCAUGAGACUGAGACCAAAUUACAUAAAAAAAUGCUUUGCUGCCAAUUUGAUUAAAUAAUUAGUAAUACUGUAUACAUGAUGUUUCAACUGGAUUGUAUGAUUAGAUAUAAAAUAGUCCACCAAAUUCAAAACCAAAUACUUAGCUAUUUUGCAUUUUGAAGACAAGUUUGAGAAAGUGUUUAUGCCAAACUCAUGUUAUAAACCUGUUUUAUAUCAGGUUAACAAUAAUUUUAACAAUUUUCUAAUGACUCUAAUUUGGUUAUUACAGACCCUACUCAACCGACCCGUGAGAGCUAACUGUACUUAAUAAUUUACCUGAGCAUCAAACAUGUUCAUGUACUUGAUUCCGGUAUUGGAGUCGACACGUCCAGGGUUGGGCUGGAAGAGGCAAAAUGACAGCGUUUCAGGCCUCUGGUCACCCAGGUACGCAAAGAACGGGUACGGGUUGAUGACAAAAGGCGACCCGGUUUCGCUAAGAAACUGUAAGAUGCCUUUUAAACCGGCCUGAUAACCGGGAGCAAACGAACCGGCCGAUGGCGGGUCA
rnacentral:lncRNA from 1 species